CCUACGGGAGGCAGCAGUGGGGGAUAUUGCACAAUGGGGGGAACCCUGAUGCAGCGACGCCGCGUGGGUGAAGGAGCGUUUCGGCGCGUAAAGCCCUAUCGGCAGGGAAGAAGGAGGACGGUACCUGACUAAGAAGCCCCGGCUAACUACGUGCCAGCAGCCGCGGUAAUACGUAGGGGGCAAGCGUUAUCCGGAUUUACUGGGUGGAAAGGGGGCGCAGACGGCAGCGCAAGCCAGGAGUGAAAGCCCGGGGCCCAACCCCGGGACUGCUCUUGGGACUGCGCGGCUGGAGUGCAGGAGGGGCAGGCGGAAUUCCUGGUGUAGCGGUGAAAGGCGUAGAUAUGAGGAGGAACACCGGUGGCGAAGGCGGCCUGCUGGACUGCGACUGACGUUGAGGCCCGAAAGCGUGGGGAGCAAACAGGAUUAGAUACCCGUGUAGUC
rnacentral:rRNA from 1 species